rnacentral:antisense_RNA from 1 species
CUUCACCGACCCGAGCCACAACGGCCGUUCCUCCGUGUGCUCCCGCCCGUACGUCGCCAGCAGGGCAUGCGCCUC